rnacentral:rRNA from 1 species
AGCAGUCGCCACGGUAAUACGGAGGGAGCUAGCGUUGUUCGGAAUUACUGGGCGUAAAGCGCGCGUAGGCGGUUACUCAAGUCAGAGGUGAAAGCCCGGGGCUCAACCCCGGAACUGCCUUUGAAACUAGGUGACUAGAAUCUUGGAGAGGUCAGUGGAAUUCCGAGUGUAGAGGUGAAAUUCGUAGAUAUUCGGAAGAACACCAGUGGCGAAGGCGACUGACUGGACAAGUAUUGACGCUGAGGUGCGAAAGCGUGGGGAGCAAACAGGAUUAGAUACCCCAGUAGUCCCUGUCUCUUAUAA